CCCUUAGAUGUUCUGGGCCGCACGCGCGCUACACUGAUUCAUGCAACAAGUUUUGUCCUUGGCUGAUAGGCCUGGGUAAUCUUUGAACGUGAAUCGUGAUGGGGAUAGAUGAUUGCAAUUAUUCAUCUUCAACGAGGAAUUCCUAGUAAACGCAAGUCAUCAGCUUGCAUUGAUUACGUCCCUGCCCUUUGUACACACCGCCCGUCGCACCUACCGAUUGGAUGGUCCGGUGAAGCCUCGGGAUUGUGGUUCUUGCCGCUUUAUUGUGGCGUGACCGCGAGAACUUGUCUAAACCUUAUCAUCUAGAGGAAGGUGAAGUCGUAACA
rnacentral:rRNA from 1 species